GAAAAGCGCAAAAAUAGAUAUUAAAGAUAGCACCAUCGGGGCUAAUGUACUAUCUAAAAGUGCACUGAUGCCUAGUAUGUAAAGUUACCUAGAAAAACUCCAGCACAUGAAAGGUGUGACAAAAUAAAGGGGAAACAACAAUCCUCCUCAAGAAAUGGUGCUGAUAGGCAGACAUAUUCCUUUUCAUGUACUGUGGUGCAAGAGUUCAGAAGAAAUCA